CAUUAGUAAAAUCAAAUGGCUGACAGUGUUUAAAGGAAUGAAGUUGGAAGAAUGGGCAAAACACUACUCUGGUCGGUGUCUGAAGUUGGAAGCAUCAGCAAUGGCAAGCGCAAGUGUUGCUAAAGAAGAAGAUAACAAACUCACGCUCUAUUCGUAUUGGAGGAGCUCUUGUUCCUUCCGAGUCCGAAUCGCUCUCAACCUCAAAGGCCUUAAAUACGACUACAAGCCCGUCAAUCUGUUGAAGGGAGAACAAUUUAGCCCCGAGUUUCUGCAGCUCAACCCUGUUGGUUGGGUUCCCGUUCUAGUGGACGGCCACGCUGUUCUUUAUGAUUCUCUCGCCAUUAUUUUGUAUUUGGAAGAUAAGUAUCCUCACAAUCCUCUGCUCCCUCGUGAUAUUCCUAAGAGAACAAUCAAUUUCCAGGUUACUAGUGUUGUUUCCUCAACAAUACAACCUCUUCAGAACUUGAGUUUACUGAACUACAUCGGGGAGAAAGUUGGCCCUGAUGAAAAACUUCGUUGGGCCCAAAGUGUAAUUAGAAGAGGCUUUACAGCACUUGAAAAGCUAUUGAAAGACCACGCAGGAAGAUAUGCAACCGGAGAUGAGGUUUUCCUGGCAGACGUAUUUUUAGCACCUCAGUUACAUACAGCAUUUAAAAGAUUCGACAUCCCAAUGGCAAUUUCAUAAAACUAAAACUGGUACUUGAAGCAUCUGGAGGAUGUGAUAAUUAACGAGUUCCCUGUUUUGUCAAGAUUGCAUGAGACAUAUAGUGAGAUCCCCGCAUUCCAGGAGGCUCUACCAGAGAACCAGCCAGAUGCAGUACACUAAUUCAACCAAUAAUUUGGGACCGGAAAUUUGAUCUGAUAUUAAUAGGGGAAGUUGCAGCAGGGAUUUGUCAUCCGGUUGAAUUUGUUGUUAUUAAGGUAUAAAAAGAUACUCAGUAAUAAGGUUACCACAUCUUGUUGUAUCACACAUCCUGUGUAGUUCAAGAGAUAUUUUGAUUUGGGUUAUAUUGUAUGUCCGUAAAGUGUUAUAUUAUCUUUAGUUCCAAAUCUUAAUGAUCAUGUUUUACGUUAAA